CACUUCUAAGGAAGGCAGCAGGCGCGCAAAUUACCCAAUCCUGACUCAGGGAGGUAGUGACAAGAAAUAACAAUAAACCGGCUUAUGCCGGUUUAAUUGGAAUGAGUACAAUUUAAACAUCUUAACGAGGAACAAUUGGAGGGCAAGUCUGGUGCCAGCAGCCGCGGUAAUUCCAGCUCCAAUAGCGUAUACUAAAGUUGUUGCAGUUAAAAAGCUCGUAGUUGGAUUUCUGUGGGGACGGAGCGGCCGGCCGCAACUCGCGGUUCGAGCUAGCGCUUUCCCUACAUCCUGCCGCGAACCGUGCUACCAUUAAUUUGGUGGCGCCGGGGAUCGGCUCGAUUACUUUGAGAAAAAUAGAGUGUUCAAAGCAGGCCACAUGCCUUGAAUAAGUUAGCAUGGAAUAAUAACUAAGGACUUCGGUUCUAUUUUGUUGGUGUUCGGGACUGAAGUAAUGAUUGAUAGGGACAGUUGGGGCGGUCUGUAUUCCAAAGCGAGAGGUGAAAUUCUUAGACCUUCGGAAGACAAACAGCUGCGAAAGCGUUCCGCAAGGAUGUUCCCUUUGAUCAAGAACGAAAGUUGGGGGAUCGAAGACGAUCAGAUACCGUCGUAGUCUCAACUAUAAACUAUACCAGCUAGGGAUCGGCCAACGUUAUUUUAUACCGACUUGGUCGGCACCUUAUGAGAAAUCAAAGCAUCUGGGUUCCGGGGGGAGUAUGGUCGCAAGGCUGAAACUUAAAGGAAUUGAUGGAAGGGCACCACCAGCCGUGGAGCCUGUGGCUUAAUUUGACUCAACACGGGAAAACUUACCAGGUCCAGACAUAGUAAGGAUUGACAGAUUGAUAGCUCUUUCUUGAUUCUGUGGGUGGUGGUGCAUGGCCGUUCUUAGUUGGUGGAGUGAUUUGUCUGGUUAAUUCCGUUAACGAACGAGACCCCAGCCUGCUAAAUAGCGCGCGUGAGCUUUGCUCGCGGCGAGCUUCUUAGAGGGACUCUGAUGCGCGAUAGCACAUGGAAGUUUGGGGCAAUAACAGGUCUGUGAUGCCCUUAGAUGUUCUGGGCCGCACACGGGCUACACUGGCGCCUGCAACGAGCAUAUCAGCUGGCCCGAGAGGGUCUUGGCUAAUCUUUUGAACCGGCGCCGUGCUUGGGAUUGACCUUUGCAAUUGUUGGUCAUGCAACGAGGAAUGCCUUGUAAACGCGAGUCAUCAGCUCGCAUUGAAUACGUCCCUGCCCUUUGUACACACCGCCCGUCGCUCCUACCGAUGAAUGUUCCGAUGAAAUUUUCGGAGAGCACCUGUGAACUUGGCUCUGCCUUGCGAACGGGAGGCUCAAAGUCACUUAAAUCUGAACAUUUCGAGG
rnacentral:rRNA from 1 species